GACGAACGCUGGCGGCGUGCCUAAUACAUGCAAGUCGAGCGAGUGAAACUAACUGAUCCCUCCGGGGUGACGUUAGUGGAUCUAGCGGCGGACGGGUGAGUAACACGUGGGCAACCUGCCUGUAAGACUGGGAUAACUCGCGGAAACGCGAGCUAAUACCGGAUGAUACUUUGAACUGCAUGGUUCGAAGAUGAAAGGCGGCGCAAGCUGUCACUUACAGAUGGGCCCGCGGCGCAUUAGCUAGUUGGUGAGGUAACGGCUCACCAAGGCGACGAUGCGUAGCCGACCUGAGAGGGUGAUCGGCCACGCUGGGACUGAGACACGGCCCAGACUCCUACGGGAGGCAGCAGUAGGGAAUCUUCCGCAAUGGACGAAAGUCUGACGGAGCAACGCCGCGUGAGUGAUGAAGGUUUUCGGAUCGUAAAACUCUGUUGUUAGGGAAGAACAAGUACAAGAGUAACUGCUUGUACCUUGACGGUACCUAACCAGAAAGCCCCGGCUAACUACGUG
rnacentral:rRNA from 1 species